GACGAACGCUGGCGGCGUGCCUAAUACAUGCAAGUUGAGCGCUGAAGGUUGGUACUUGUACCAACUGGAUGAGCAGCGAACGGGUGAGUAACGCGUGGGGAAUCUGCCUUUGAGCGGGGGACAACAUUUGGAAACGAAUGCUAAUACCGCAUAAAAACUUUAAACACAAGUUUUAAGUUUGAAAGAUGCAAUUGCAUCACUCAAAGAUGAUCCCGCGUUGUAUUAGCUAGUUGGUGAGGUAAAGGCUCACCAAGGCGAUGAUACAUAGCCGACCUGAGAGGGUGAUCGGCCACAUUGGGACUGAGACACGGCCCAAACUCCUACGGGAGGCAGCAGUAGGGAAUCUUCGGCAAUGGACGAAAGUCUGACCGAGCAACGCCGCGUGAGUGGAGAAGGUUUUCGGAUCGUAAAACUCUGUUGGUAGAGAAGAACGUUGGUGAGAGUGGAAAGCUCAUCAAGUGACGGUAACUACCCAGAAAGGGACGGCUAACUACGUG
rnacentral:rRNA from 1 species